AGUCCGGUGCUCUAACCAACUGAGCUACAGA
rnacentral:tRNA from 1 species